rnacentral:RNase_P_RNA from 1 species
UGAAGAGAUCUUUCUACCACACAUGUAGUUUAUAAUCAGUUACUUCAUACAUCUCGGGAAGGUCUGAGUAGAGGUCGGGUGUGCCCUGGUCACGAUAAACCUUUCAGCGAGAGACGUCGCCCACAGCGAUGGCAGGGAAACCAGAAACUCCGGCAAUGGCUAGUCGAGGAUUCUUACUAGAUGAGACAUAACCCCGUCGUCGAUGAAAGUUCCUGUGACCGGCAGUUUUAGCUUAAUCUGUGACACGACUCGUUCGUAACUCAAUUCAGACUAUUUUCA